AACUUUUGACAAUGGAUCUCUACCGCCGCGCUCUGGACGCCAAACCGUCCUAUCCGCUGGCGCAUUUCCAUCUUGGCCGCAUCUACGCGAAUCAGAACAAAUACGCGCUGGCUAUCCAGGAAUUCGAGAAAUCUUUGGAACCGCCCAGUGAGGCGACGCCCACAUAUUUAUACGCGCUGGCGGCGACGAAUGCGCGAUCCGGCUCUCGCGCGCGCGCCGUCGAGCUGAUGCGAGAAGCGCGCACACAGGCCUCCGCGCGGGGGCAGACCGCUCUGGUGGCGAGUAUCGACCGCGAUCUCGCCAGGAUGGGCGCGAGGCCGUGAGGUGCGGGACAACCGAGCCGCUUUGGUGGAUCACACCCCAAAUCGGAGAUUUUGCUCAUGCAAGCUGAAUCACUUAAGCAUAUCAAUAAGCGGAGGCU
rnacentral:misc_RNA from 1 species